CCAGACUCCUACGGGAGGCAGCAGUGGGGAAUAUUGCACAAUGGGGGGAACCCUGAUGCAGCGACGCCGCGUGGGUGAAGAAGUCAUUCGUGACGUAAAGCUCUAUCAGCAGGGAAGAAAGUGACAGUACCUGACUAAGAAGCCCCGGCUAACUACGUGCCAGCAGCCGCGGUAAUACGUAGGGGGCAAGCGUUAUCCGGAUUCACUGGGCGUAAAGGGAGCGCAGGCGGCACGGCAAGUCUGGUGUGAAAACCCGGGGCUCAACCCCGGGACUGCAUUGGAAACUGCCGGGCUGGAGUGUCGGAGGGGUAAGCGGAAUUCCUAGUGUAGCGGUGAAAUGCGUAGAUAUUAGGAGGAACACCAGUGGCGAAGGCGGCUUACUGGACGAUGACUGACGCUGAGGCUCGAAAGCGUGGGGAGCAAACAGGAUUAGAUACCCCUGUAU
rnacentral:rRNA from 1 species